UCUCCGUUGGUGAACCAGCGGAGGGAUCAUUACAGAGUUCCACAAUUCCCAACCCCUGCGAACCGUACUCCAGGUUAUUUUCGUUGCCUCCCGGCCGCCGGCUCCCGCCGCCACCGCCGGGGCCCCCCCCAGCCGCGGCUGUCCCCUAUUGCCUUUUUUUCUCAACCAACCCGACUAAAUCAACAAACAAAACAACCAAAACUUUCAACAACGGAUCUCUUGGUACCGCAAUCGAUCGAAAAAGCAAACGUCUGGACAGCAGUCAGUUACAUCGCCAAU
rnacentral:misc_RNA from 1 species